CCUACGGGAGGCUGCAGUGGGGAAUAUUGCGCAAUGGGCGCAAGCCUGACCCAGCAACGCCGCGUGAAGGAAGAAGGCUUUCGGGUUGUAAACUUCUUUUCUCAGCGACGAAGAAAGUGACGGUACCUGAGGAAUAAGCCACGGCUAACUACGUGCGAGCAGCCGCGGUAAUACGUAGGUGGCGAGCGUUAACCGGAUUUACUGGGAGUAAAGAGCGUGUAGGCGGGAAAGCAAGUCAGAUGUGAAAGCCAUGGGCUCAACCUGUGGCCUGCAUUUGAAACUGUUUUUCUUGAGUACUGGAGGGGCAGACGGAAUUCCACGUGUAGCGGUGAAAUGCGUAGAGAUGAGGAGGAACACCAGAGGCGAAGGCGGUCUGCUGGACAGCAACUGACGCUGAGGCGCGAAAGCGUGGGGAGCAAACAGGAUUAGAUACCCCUGUAGUC
rnacentral:rRNA from 1 species